rnacentral:rRNA from 1 species
GUGGGGAAUUUUGGACAAUGGGGGCAACCCUGAUCCAGCCAUGCCGCGUGCGGGAAGAAGGCCUUCGGGUUGUAAACCGCUUUUGUCAGGGAAGAAAUCCUUUGGGUUAAUACCUCGGAGGGAUGACGGUACCUGAAGAAUAAGCACCGGCUAACUACGUGCCAGCAGCCGCGGUAAUACGUAGGGUGCGAGCGUUAAUCGGAAUUACUGGGCGUAAAGCGUGCGCAGGCGGUUUUGUAAGAUCGAUGUGAAAUCCCCGGGCUCAACCUGGGAACUGCAUUGGUGACUGCAAGGCUGGAGUGCGGCAGAGGGGGAUGGAAUUCCGCGUGUAGCAGUGAAAUGCGUAGAUAUGCGGAGGAACACCGAUGGAGAAGGCAAUCCCCUGGGCCUGCACUGACGCUCAUGCACGAAAGCGUGGGGAGCAAACAGGAUUAGAAACCCUAGUAGUCC